rnacentral:misc_RNA from 1 species
AAGUCGUAACAAGGUUUCCGUAGGUGAACCUGCGGAAGGAUCAUUAACACGUUAUCCAACGUAUCAACCAACGAGAAUCGUUUUCACAUCUCCCGGAAGCAAAGAAUGAGUGGAAUCCGAGCAACGCAUUGAAAGGGAUAGCCUCGGCGUCAGCCUGCUCUUAUCACUUAGGCAAAUCGAAAGGUUUGCUUAGACACUGUAUUUUUGCGGAAGGCAAAUUGGUCUGCGGUGGUGCUUUCCUUUCAUUGAGAAUCACUGCAGGCUCCUAUUUUUUUACCUAUUUCACCCCCCUUUUUGCUAGUUGACUUUAAUACUGUUGUUCUUUUUUUUCAAACGCUUGCGUUGGGAAACGAGUUCACACGUUUAAUUAAUUGAACGUUAAAAAUACAACUCUUAGCAAUGGAUAUCUUGGUUCUC